GAUGAACGCUGGCGGCGUGCCUAAUACAUGCAAGUCGAGCGAACGGACGAGAAGCUUGCUUCUCUGAUGUUAGCGGCGGACGGGUGAGUAACACGUGGAUAACCUACCUAUAAGACUGGGAUAACCUCGGGAAACCGGAGCUAAUACCGGAUAAUAUUUUGAACCGCAUGGUUCAAAAGUAAAAGACGGUCUUGCUGUCACUUAUAGAUGGAUCCGCGCUGCAUUAGCUAGUUGGUAAGGUAACGGCUUACCAAGGCAACGAUGCAUAGCCGACCUGAGAGGGUGAUCGGCCACACUGGAACUGAGACACGGUCCAGACUCCUACGGGAGGCAGCAGUAGGGAAUCUUCCGCAAUGGGCGAAAGCCUGACGGAGCAACGCCGCGUGAGUGAUGAAGGUGUUCGGAUCGUAAAACUCUGUUAUUAGGGAAGAACAUAUGUGUAAGUAACUGUGCACAUCUUGACGGUACCUAAUCAGAAAGCCACGGCUAACUACGUG
rnacentral:rRNA from 1 species